GAUGAACGCUAGCGGCAGGCUUAAUACAUGCAAGUCGAGGGACAGCACAGGUAGCAAUACUGGGUGGUAACCGGCAAACGGGUGCGGAACACGUACACAACCUUCCUUUAAGUGGGGGAUAGCCCAGAGAAAUUUGGAUUAAUACCCCGUAAUAUAGUUGAAUGGCAUCAUUUGAUUAUUAUAGCUACGGCGCUUAAUGAUGGGUGUGCGGCUGAUUAGAUAGUUGGCGGGGUAACGGCCCACCAAGUCUACGAUCAGUAGCUGAUGUGAGAGGAUUAUCAGCCACACGGGAACUGAGACACGGGCCCGACUCCUACGGGAGGCAGCAGUAAGGAAUAUUGGUCAAGUGACGCAAGUUUGAACCAGCCAUGCCGCGUGAAGGAUUAAGGUCCUCUGGAUUGUAAACUUCUUUUAUUUGGGACGAAAAAGGGCCUUUCUAGGUCAACUGACGGUACCAGAUGAAUAAGCACCGGCUAACUCCGUGCCAGCCGCCGCGGUAACAC
rnacentral:rRNA from 1 species